CCCUUAGAUGUUCUGGGCGGCCCGCGCACUACACUGGCACUCUCAAUCAGAGCCUGGAUCUAACACUUUGGGGUAUUCUAUGAAGUGGUGUCGUGACUGGGAUUAACCCUUGCAAUUAUUGGUUACGAACGAGGAAUUCCUUGUAAUCGCGGUUUAUCAGCCCGCGUUGAAUGCGUCCCUGCCCUUUGUACACACCGCCCGUCGCUCCUACCGAUUGGGUGUGCUGGUGAAAUGUUCGGAUCGGCCGUUUGUCGCGGUUUCCGCGGCUCGUGGCUGAGAAGUUCAUUAAACCCUCCCACCUAGAGGAAGGAGAAGUCGUAACA
rnacentral:rRNA from 1 species